rnacentral:tRNA from 1 species
CGACUUGUAGUGAAAUUGGUUAUCACACUGAACUUUGACUUCAGUAUUUCAGGUUCAAAUCCUGACAGGUCUGCCA